UAGAUGAUGAUCCCAAGCCUUCUGGCGAUCUAGACAAAACAAGUCCACCGUGGGCUUUGAAAAACGCUUUCCUUGAUAAAAUUUAAGCGUUUUAUAAGAGGAUGCCGGGGAAGGUUUUCCGGUUUAUCCCGGAGGGCUUGUAGCUCAGUUGGUUAGAGCGCGCGCUUGAUAAGCGUGAGGUCGGAGGUUCAA
rnacentral:misc_RNA from 1 species